rnacentral:rRNA from 1 species
GAUGAACGCUGGCGGCGUGCCUAAUACAUGCAAGUCGAGCGAACAGACGAGGAGCUUGCUCCUCUGACGUUAGCGGCGGACGGGUGAGUAACACGUGGAUAACCUACCUAUAAGACUGGGAUAACUUCGGGAAACCGGAGCUAAUACCGGAUAAUAUAUUGAACCGCAUGGUUCAAUAGUGAAAGACGGCUUUGCUGUCACUUAUAGAUGGAUCCGCGCCGCAUUAGCUAGUUGGUAAGGUAACGGCUUACUAAGGCGACGAUGUGUAGCCGACCUGAGAGGGGGAUCGGCCACACUGGAACUGAGACACGGUCCAGGCUCCUACGAGAGGCAGCAGUAGGGAAUCUGACGCAGUGGGCGAAAGCCUGACGGAGCAACGCGGAGUGAGUGAUGAAGGUCUUCGGAGCGUAAAACUCUGUUAUUAGGGAAGAACAAAUGUGUAAGUAACUAUGCACGUCUUGACGGUACCUAAUCAGAAAGCCACGGCUAACUACGUG